rnacentral:lncRNA from 1 species
CCCAGCACAGCAAAUGAAUCAUUAAGUAAAGUUUUAAAAAAAAAAAUGUAAGGGGAUUCCCCAGUGGAAGUCCCCCUUGCCAUGCAGAGGACUCAGGUUCAAUCUGUGGUCUGGAAAGAUCCCACAUGCCAUGGGGCAGCUAAUGGGCUUAGCCCAUGCAGUCUAGAGUGUGUGUUCCACAAGAAAAGCCACUGCAGGGAGAAGCCUGCACACUGCAACUAGUAAGCAGCCCCGACACAGCUAGAGAAAGCCUGUGCACGGCCACAAAGACUCAGCACAGCCAGAAAGAAAGAAAGAAAAAUUUUUUUUUAAAGAGAGAGAUUUGGGCCUUUAGGCUGGGGUCCAUGGGGAGCCUUCAAGCCUUACCUUCUGGAUGGAUCCCUCCUGCUUCAGAGGGAGACACUGGAGGCCAUGGGAGAAGGAUGCAGGUCCAUGGUUUGUGCCAGAUGCUGGGGGCUGGAAGAGGAAGGGAAAUCUCUCUCUGACCUCUGGGAACCAGACACCUAAUCAGAGAUACAACAUUCAACAGCAUCGUAUUCUUCCUUUCGGCCCUGGAGACAAGACCCAACAAAUCCUCAUCUGCACAUGUCUUAUCAGCUGUUAUGAGUCACAGCCGUCAACCAGAAUGUGAAAUAAAUAAAUGGCCAAAGAAACAUCAU